AGCAUUUAUACUGUGAACUGCGAAUGGCUCAUUAAAUCAGUUAUUGUUUAUUUGAUGGUACCUUUACUACUUGGAUAACCGUGGUAAUUCUAGAGCUAAUACAUGCUAAAAACCCCGACUCAUGAAGGGGUGUAUUUAUUAGAUUCAAACCAGUGUCCCUCGGGACUUUUUGGUGACUCAUAAUAACUUAACGCAGCGCAUGGCCUUCGUGCCGGCGCGGGAUCAUUCAAAUACCUGCCCUAUCAAGUUUCGAUGUGAGGGUAGUGUCCUCACAUGCUUUUGACGGGUAACGGGGAAUUAGGGUUCGACUCCGGAGAGGGAGCCUGAGAAACGGCUACCACAUCCAAGGAAGGCAGCAGGCGCGCAAAUUACCCAAUCCCGAUACGGGGAGGUAGUGACAAGAAAUACCGAUUCAGGAUCUUAUUGGAUCUUGAGAUUGGAAUGAGUACAAUUCAAACCCAUUAACGAGGAACAACUAGAGGGCAAGUCUGGUGCCAGCAGCCGCGGUAAUUCCAGCUCUAGUAGCGUAUAUUAAAAUUGUUGCAGUUAAAACGCUCGUAGUUGAACUUUGGGCUUGGCUGGCUGGUCCGCCUCACCGCGAGCACUGGUCCGGCUGGGCCUUUCCUCUUGGGGAUCCACAUGCCCUUCACUUGGGUGUGUUGGGGAACCAGGACUUUUACUUUGAAAAAAUUAGGGUGUUCAAAGCAGGCAUUUGCUCGAAUACAUUAGCAUGGGAUAAUAGAAUAGGACGUGUGGUCUUAUUUUGUUGGUUUCUAGGACCGCCGUAAUGAUUGAUAGGGAUAGUUGGGGGCAUCGGUAUUCAAUUGUCAGAGGUGAAAUUCUUGGAUUUAUUGAAGACCAACUACUGCGAAAGCAUUUGCCAAAGAUGUUUUCAUUAAUCAGGGAACGAAAGUUAGGGGAUCGAAGAUGAUCAGAUACCGUCGUAGUCUUAACCGUAAACUAUGCCGACUAGGGAUCGGGUGGUGUUCCAUUUAUGACCCACUCGGCACCUUACGAGAAAUCAAAGUU
rnacentral:rRNA from 1 species